rnacentral:rRNA from 1 species
CUCAGAUUGAACGCUGGCGGCAGGCCUAACACAUGCAAGUCGAGCGGUAACAGAUCCAGCUUGCUGGAUGCUGACGAGCGGCGGACGGGUGAGUAAUGCAUAGGAAUCUGCCCGAUAGUGGGGGAUAACCUGGGGAAACCCAGGCUAAUACCGCAUACGUCCUACGGGAGAAAGGGGGCUCCGGCUCCCGCUAUGGGAUGAGCCUAUGUCGGAUUAGCUAGUUGGUGAGGUAACGGCUCACCAAGGCCACGAUCCGUAGCUGGUCUGAGAGGAUGAUCAGCCACAUCGGGACUGAGACACGGCCCGAACUCCUACGGGAGGCAGCAGUGGGGAAUAUUGGACAAUGGGGGAAACCCUGAUCCAGCCAUGCCGCGUGUGUGAAGAAGGCCCUCGGGUUGUAAAGCACUUUCAGCGAGGAAGAACGCCUAGCGGUUAAUACCCGCUAGGAAAGACAUCACUCGCAGAAGAAGCACCGGCUAACUCCGUGCCAGCAGCCGCGGUAAUACGGAGGGUGCAAGCGUUAAUCGGAAUUACUGGGCGUAAAGCGCGCGUAGGUGGCUUGAUAAGCCGGUUGUGAAAGCCCCGGGCUCAACCUGGGAACGGCAUCCGGAACUGUCAAGCUAGAGUGCAGGAGAGGAAGGUAGAAUUCCCGGUGUAGCGGUGAAAUGCGUAGAGAUCGGGAGGAAUACCAGUGGCGAAGGCGGCCUUCUGGACUGACACUGACACUGAGGUGCGAAAGCGUGGGUAGCAAACAGGAUUAGAUACCCUGGUAGUCCACGCCGUAAACGAUGUCGACCAGCCGUUGGGUGCCUAGCGCACUUUGUGGCGAAGUUAACGCGAUAAGUCGACCGCCUGGGGAGUACGGCCGCAAGGUUAAAACUCAAAUGAAAUU